GCCAGGUAUGGUGGUGCACACCUGUAACCCUAGCUACUCUGGAGGCUGGGGCUGGAGGAUCACAAGUUCAAGGCCAGUUUGGACAAAUUAGCAAUACCCUGUCUCAA
rnacentral:sRNA from 1 species